GAUGAACGCUGGCGGCGUGCCUAACACGUGCAAGUCGAACGGAGUCCAGCCUUUAAGACCUUCGGGUCAAAGAGGGGAAGACUGAGUGGCGGACGGGUGAGUAACACGUGGGCAACCUGGCUCAUAGAGGGGGAUAACAGAGAGAAAUUUCUGCUAAUACCGCAUAAGCACACACUGCCGCAUGGCAGAGGGUGAAAAGAGAAUCGCUAUGAGAUGGACCCGCGUCUGAUUAGCCAGUUGGCAGGGUAAGAGCCUACCAAAGCGACGAUCAGUAGCCGAUCUGAGAGGAUGAACGGCCACAUUGGGACUGAGACACGGCCCAAACUCCUACGGGAGGCAGCAGUGGGGGAUAUUGCACAAUGGGGGGAACCCUGAUGCAGCGACGCCGCGUGAGUGAAGAAGUAUUUCGGUAUGUAAAGCUCUAUCAGCAGGGAAGAUAAUGACAGUACCUGAAGAAGAAGCCCCGGCUAACUACGUG
rnacentral:rRNA from 1 species